rnacentral:lncRNA from 1 species
UUUUACAUGAAAGAAAAGGAACAUUUGUACAACGGAGAAGAAAAUAUAAAAAUGGCUUUCAGUAGAAUGAUUGCUUCCAUGGCAGCUAGCCAUCUGUAAAACAAAGAACAAAGAACACAAAUUGCUUUUAGUAGAAUGGUUGUCCCCAUAAAAAGAAGUCAUUCGCUAAAUUUCUUAAGAGUUAGAAAAGGGGAAAAAAAUCUUACCUUCAAGCCAACUUCAAGUAGAAGGAACAGAAUUCUGAAGAAGGGAAAUUCAAUAAAACCCAAACCCUCCAAUACUCUCCUACAAAUUUUCUAUGUCGUCAAUCAUAAAAUAAGAAGAGAAAAAAAAAACUAAAAAGCAAUGCAUUGAAUGUUUAGAGAAUGAAAAAAAUUACUCAAGAACUUAUUUUAGUCAUUAGAGUAAUAUCGAAAGGAUCAAAACAGGUCGUAAUCAUAUUUAAAAAUGGGGCUAAAUUUGUAUUAAAAGUUUAGAAGAACACAUUCAGCUACACUGAAACUAAUAAAAUAAGAAAAAA